rnacentral:rRNA from 1 species
GGAUGAACGCUGGCGGCGUGCCUAAUACAUGCAAGUCGAGCGAACGGACGAGAAGCUUGCUUUUCUGAUGUUAGCGGCGGACGGGUGAGUAACACGUGGAUAACCUACCUAUAAGACUGGGAUAACUUCGGGAAACCGGAGCUAAUACCGGAUAAUAUUUUGAACCGCAUGGUUCAAAAGUGAAAGACGGUCUUGCUGUCACUUAUAGAUGGAUCCGCGCUGCAUUAGCUAGUUGGUAAGGUAACGGCUUACCAAGGCAACGAUGCAUAGCCGACCUGAGAGGGUGAUCGGCCACACUGGAACUGAGACACGGUCCAGACUCCUACGGGAGGCAGCAGUAGGGAAUCUUCCGCAAUGGGCGAAAGCCUGACGGAGCAACGCCGCGUGAGUGAUGAAGGUCUUCGGAUCGUAAAACUCUGUUAUUGGGGAAGAACAUAUGUGUAAGUAACUGUGCACAUCUUGACGGUACCUAAUCAGAAAGCCACGGCUAACUACGUG